CCUACGGGCGGCUGCAGUGGGGAAUAGUGCACAAUGGGGGAAACCCUGAUGCAGCGACGCCGCGUGAGUGAAGAAGUAAUUCGUUAUGUAAAGCUCUAUCAGCAGGGAAGAAAAUGACGGUACCUGAGUAAGAAGCCCCGGCUAACUACGUGCCAGCAGCCGCGGGAAUACGUAGGGGGCAAGCGUUAUCCGGAUUUACUGGGUGUAAAGGGAGCGUAGACGGCAGUGCAAGUCUGGAGUGAAAGGCGGGGGCUAAACCCCCGGAAGGCUCUGGAAACUGUACGGUGGGAGGGCAGGAGAGGUAAGUGGAAUUCCUAGUGUAGCGGUGAGAUGCGUAGAUAUUAGGAGG
rnacentral:rRNA from 1 species